CGCAGCCGCGGUAAUUCCAGCUCCAAUAGCGUAUAUUAAAGUUGUUGCAGUUAAAAAGCUCGUAGUUGAAUUUCGGGAUUUGUCAGUUGGUCGGGCUUCACUGUCCGUAUUGACUUGAUGGAUUCUUACCUUCUGAAUAACCAGCAUGCUAUUAAGUUAGUGCGUUGGGGAAGCAGAUCUAUUACCUUGAAAAAAUUAGAGUGCUUAAAGCGAGCUAGUGCUUGAAUAGAUUAGCAUGGAAUAAUAAAAUAGGACGGCAUGGUUCUAUUUUGUUGGUUUCUAGGAUCACCGUAAUGAUUAAUAGGGAUAGUUGGGGGCAUUAGUAUUCAAUUGUCAGAGGUGAAAUUCUUGGAUUUAUUGAAGACUAACUUCUGCGAAAGCAUUUUGCCAAGGAUGUUUUCAUUAAUCAAGAACGAAAGUUAGGGGAUCGAAGACGAUCAGAUACCGUCGUAGUCUUAACCAUAAACUAUGCCGACUAGGAAUCGGACGAUGUUAAUUUUAUAAUGACUCGUUCGGCACC
rnacentral:rRNA from 1 species